rnacentral:rRNA from 1 species
ACUCUCGGCAACGGAUAUCUCGGCUCUUGCAUCGAUGAAGAACGUAGCGAAAUGCGAUACUUGGUGUGAAUUACAGAAUCCCGUGAACCAUUGAGUCUUUGAACGCAAGUUACGCCUAAAGCCAUUAGGUUGAAGGCACGUCUGCCUGGGCGUC